GACGAACGCUGGCGGCGUGCUUACCACAUGCAAGUCGAACGAAGUGGCGAACGGGUGAGUAACGCGUAAUCAACCUGCCCUUCAGAGGGGGACAACAGUUGGAAACAACUGCUAAUACCACAUACUGAAGGAGGGGAUUGCGUCUGAUUAGCUAGUUGGAGGGGGAACGGCCCACCAAGGCGAUGAUCAGUAGCCGGUCUGAGAGGAUGAACGGCCACAUGGGGACUGAGACACGGCCCAGACUCCUACGGGAGGCAGCAGUGGGGAAUCUGCCGCAAUGGACGAAAGUCUGACGGAGCAACGCCGCGUGAGUGAUGACGGCCUUCGGUUUGUAAAGCUCUGUUAAUCGGUACGCGGUACCGGAAUAGAGAGCCACGGCGAACUACGUGCCAGCAGCCGCGGUAAUUC
rnacentral:rRNA from 1 species